rnacentral:rRNA from 1 species
GUCGUCAGCUCGUGUCGUGAGAUGUGGUUAGGUCCCGCAACGAGCGCAACCCUCGACCUUAGUUGCCAGCAUUCAGUUGGGCACUCUAAGGUGACUGCCGGCUAAAAGUCGGAGGAAGGUGGGGAUGACGUCAAAUCAUCAUGCCCCUUAUGACCUGGGCUACACACGUGCUACAAUGGGCGGUACAAAGGGUCGCGAACCCGCAGGGGAGCCAAUCCCAAAAAAGCCGCUCUCAGUUCGGAUUGCAGGCUGCAACUCGCCUGCAUGAAGCCGGAAUCGCUAGUAAUCGCGGAUCAGCAUGCCGCGGUGAAUACGUUCCCGGGCCUU